rnacentral:rRNA from 1 species
UACGAGUGCCCCGAGCGUUAUCCGGAAUUAUUGGGCGUAAAGGGUGUGUAGGCGGUCAUAUUAGUCUUUUGUUAAAUUCUUCGGCUUAACCGGGGCAUGCAAAGGAAACGGUAUGACUCGAGGAUGCGAGAGGUGAAUGGAACUCAUGGAGUAGGGGUGAAAUCCGUUGAUAUCAUGGGGAACACCAAAAGCGAAGGCAAUUCACUGGCGCACUCCUGACGCUGAACACGAAAGCGUAGGUAGCGAAUGGG